AUCCGUAGGUGACAAGCGUUAUCCGGAUUUACUGGGCGUAAAGGGCGUGUAGGCGGUCUUGCAAGUCAGAAGUGAAAUUCCUGAGCUCAACUCGGGCGCUGCUUCUGAAACUGCAGGACUUGAGUGCUGGAGGGGAUAGCGGAAUUCCUAGUGGAGCGGUAAAAUGCGCAGAUAUUAGGAAGAACACCGGUGGCGAAGGCGGCUAUCUGGACAGUAACUGACGCUGAGGCGCGAAAGCGUGGGGAGCAAACAGGAUUAGAUACCUUGGUAGUCCACGCCGUAAACGAUGAAUACUAGGUGUAGGGGGUAUCGACUCCCUCUGUGCCGCAGUUAACACAAUAAGUAUUCCGCCUGGGGAGUACGGCCGCAAGGUUGAAACUCAAAUGAAUUGGCGGGG
rnacentral:rRNA from 1 species